GAAACGGCGUAUCAGUCAGGUCGCGGAUUCAUAUGCAGUUAUUCAUAUGUAGCGUUUAUGUGGAAGUGAAAGUCCAUGACAAAAUAUUACCUCAAGUACACCACUAUGUGAAAAUGGUCACUCUUGUGCAAUACAUGACCAAAUCUGAUGACUCCCAACUCCCCGACCAAAGUACUGCAGCAGUCAAUAACAUAUCCACAAGAGUUAAAUGGGGCACUUUCUAUAUGAGUUCAACCUUUCUGUCUUGAGAGAUUCACACCUUUCAGAUUCCCAACUUUAUGAUAUUGUUCAGAAUUUGGUUGGAGAAAAUUAGAAGAUUGGGGCAAAUGCUGUUCGGUCCAGGCUUGCAGCUAUAAAUAUUCGAGUGCCGCGAAGGAGACUUGGACUGUAUGAACCCAAGGACACUGAGACUGACAGACCCAGUUCCUGCUGCCAUGAAGCUAAUCACACCAUGAUCUACUGGCCUCCCAUCAUCGUGAUGCCCUGCCAAUGUGUGACCAGCGACCACCCGCUGCUUCCCUUUAUUUCUAAAUUUUUUAAUUCUUAACUCUUUCACCGCCAGCGUUUUUAAAAAAAGUUGCCAGCCAGCGCCAGCGUUUUUCAUGAUUUUCACCAAAGUUUAAUGCCUUCCAGAAAAUGUUCUUCUUUAAAUAUAUAAACAUACAAUAUACCAAAUGAAAGAACAGACCCUCUGCUUUCA